ACGCGGUGAGGCCCACACACCCCGAAGGUGGAGCUGGGGCGGGGUCUUAAGGACCACCCAGAGACCCGAGAGGGGUGCGAGGGGAUUUUGUGCCCAAGCCAGCAGAAGCGCCUCCAAAUUUUCUAAGGUUGUCCCAGGAGUUAUUUCUCAUUUCCUGUCUCUUCAUCCCAAAGUGAGGCAUCCCUUAAUUAUCAGAAAAAUGUACUGUGCAGCAAGGAUGCUUCAAAUAUGUGCCUAGAACCAUUUACGGUCCUAUCCUCAAGGAGCUUCACCUGGGAGCGGGGAGGGGCUGGAGAUGACACUGAAUCUCCAGUGACCAUGUUAUGUAACGAGAUCUUCAUAAGAGCUGCAAAACCUUCAAGUUCUGUGAAGGUGGCACCACUGAGAGGCGUGGAAAUCUGUCCCACCCUCACCCCCAAUAUGCCCCUCCUCCAUUUGGCUCUUCCUGAGUUGUCCUUUAUAAUAAUAAAUCUGCCAUAGUAAGUAGA